AUUGAACGCUGGCGGCAGGCCUAACACAUGCAAGUCGAGCGAGCGGCGGACGGGUGAAUAGGGUAUGAGCAUGUGCCCGACCGAGGGGGAUGACUACUGGAAACGGUGGCUACUGCCGCAUACUAUCGGAUGGACCCAGGGGGGAUUAGCUAGUCGGUGGGGUAAAGGCUCACCUAGGCGACGAUAUCUAGCUGGUCUGAGAGGAUGAUUAGCCACAAUGGGACUGAGACACUGCCCAGAAUCCUACGGGAGGCAGGCGUGGGGAAUAUUGCGCAAAGGGCGGAAGGCUGAUGCAGCCAUGCCGGGGGUAUGGAGAAGGCCUUAGGGUUGUAAAGUACUUGCAGUGGGGAGGCGUUUACCGAAGAAGAAGCCCCGGCUAACUCCGUGACAGCAGCCGCGGUAAUUC
rnacentral:rRNA from 1 species